rnacentral:hammerhead_ribozyme from 1 species
GCACUGCUGACGAGUCGCAAGCAGGACGAAACAGCUGUCCAGUGC